rnacentral:rRNA from 1 species
AGCAGCCGCGGUAAUUCCAGCUCCAAUAGCGUAUAUUAAAGUUGUUGUAGUUAAAAAGCUCGUAGUUGAACUUCGGGGUUUACCCAUUGGUCAGGCUUAAUUGUCUGCACUGGUGAGAUAAAUCUCUACCUUCUGAGGAACUUUCAUGCCAUUUAUUUGGUGUGAUUGGAAAUCAGGACUAUUACUUUGAAAAACUUAGAGUGUUUAAAGCAGGCUAACGUCUGAAUAUAUUAGCAUGGAAUAAUGAAAUAGGACGGCUUGGUUCUAUUUCGUUGGUUUCUAGGAUCACCGUAAUGAUUAAUAGGGAUAGUUGGGGGCAUUAGUAUUCAAUUGUCAGAGGUGAAAUUCUUGGAUUUAUUGAAGACUAACUACUGCGAAAGCAUUUGCCAAGGAUGUUUUCAUUAAUCAAGAACGAAAGUUAGGGGAUCGAAGACGAUCAGAUACCGUCGU